UAAUACAAGCUGGCAAAGGGAAAAGAAGUUAAAGGAGGAACUGAAAGAGGAAAAGACUUACUUGAGAGUGGGAUGAUAAAAUAUAUAAUUAGCAGAAAUGGAUACUAAAAGAGUACAUUAUAAAAUAGGAGACUAAAAGAGAAGAAUGGGAACAAAGCAGAAUAGGAUCUAAAAUGACCAAAGGGAAAAGCUGCAGUUCCCAAAAGGAGAUGGAGAAUAGGUAGGAUUCACCUUUUGCAGAUACACAGUUUUGAUGAUUUUGUAUUUUGAAAUAACACUGGCCAAGCAUAUCAUGCAGGCAGCUUCUUUCUAUCAGAAAUCUUAGAUUCAUUACUAAAAGUUCUGUAAAAAUGGGAAGUGCAUUCCUAAAACUUCUGGAGUUGCAGACACAGAGGAAGAUAUGGAAAGCAGAGUCCUCUGGGAGCUGUGCACAGACAUAGGAGAUGUCAGUCAUCCUGGAUCCAUUACCAUCUGUUUACACUAAGGCAGGCAAUCAAUUUUUAGAGGCUGUCAUAAAACAGAAAGAUUUUUCUCCUUGCUAAGGAAAAAGAAGUAUUAAUUUCCCUCGGCUUUUUUCCCUCUCCCCUUUUAUAGCAGCGUGAAACUUCUCAGCUAUCAAGUCAGUAACACUGAUGGAGUGAAAAUACUCCCAUUUAAGUGGCAAGAGCUUAAGACAUGAAAUAGCAAUCCCUUUAAGCUUCUACUUCUAAAUAAGGGCAGAAGUGUUUCACCGUCUGUAUGGGAACUGUUGAAUCGUGGCCUGAACCUCUGAUUGACCACCUGAGGUGAGCACUGAGUCAGCCAUGGGAACACAGGUGAAGGCAAUUCACCUGUGUGGCUGGAAGGGGUAGAGCCACACUAGACCCCUAGACCCCAUUUAAGGGCUGACUAGCACUGGGGAAGGAUCUCUGGAGAUUGCUCCUCUUGGACACUUUUUCUGGUGAGCCCAGGACACGGAAAAACAGCUCGAGGAGCAACGGGAGGAAACACAGCUCUAUCCUGCAGCGAGGGGGUCUGCGCAGGAGGUAGGCGCUGCUCUCACGGUGAGAAGGCAGCACCGAGCUGCCCGGCGGGGCGUGCAUACGUACUGAGCGAGCUACAUGUGCCGCGUGUCAUCACGGAUGCUUUCAAGUCCCUCCCUCCCUCUCCGCUGUCGGGGCUGUCCGUGGGAACCGGGCGGGAGGAGCGCCGCAGCCCCGUGGGGACUGAACGGGUCUCGGAGGGCUGCGUUCCCAGACUCAGUAAUAAGAAAAACCACAGAUCCUGGCCAAGCUGUUUCCCAGGAUAUGGAGUGGAAUGUGGAAGUCAUGAGAAACAAAACACAAAUUAUAAGAGGACUGAUGUCAGGAAGAACUCAUCUUCUCAUUCGUACGUGUAUAUAGCUGGUAUAAAGACUGAGUUACAUCAAAGAAAAGCAAGGGAAGACUUCUAUGUGACGCAUGUAACAUGUUCAAAUAAAACAAACAAAAAUCCUUUUGGUGGUUUCUAGUCUCAGCUGUAAACUGGUAGCAAACUGCAUUAACAAGAAAAGAAACGUCCAGUGUUCCAAAUGUAGUAUUUCUACCACUCCAUAUUUCUAGCUACCAAACGUCGUAUAUUUCGUUUAAUUUAUAUAUUUUAAAGACUGUAAUUAUUAUACCAUAUGAAAGCAUGAAUUUCAAGGCUUAAGCUGUCAUAGUCACCAGAAUUUUGAAUUACAUGAUUUUUUGAAGUUAUUUGAGUAUAUCCUCAACAGGUUUGUUGAUGACGGAAAGCAGAGUGGUGCAGUUGAUAUAAUAGAAGGAAGGAAUGCCAUCCAGAGAGACUUAGAUAGACUUGGAAUGUGGGCCCAUAUGAACCUAAUGAGAUGCAACAAAGCCAUGUGCAAGAUGUUGUGCUUGGGUCUAGGCAAUACCAGACAUAUUUGCAGUCUGGGAGAAGAACUCAUUGAGAGCAGCCCUAUGGAGAAGGACUUGAGAGUUCUGAUGGAUAAAAAGCUGAACGUGAACCAACAGUGUGUUCUCACACCUGAAGGCCAACAGUUUCCUGGGCUGCAUCAAAAGAACUGUGACCAGCAGGGAGAGGUAGGUGAUUGUCUCCUCUGCUCUGCCCUCAUCAUGCCCCAUCUGGAGUACCGUGUCCAAGUCUGGGGCCCUCAGCACAGGAAAGAUGUUGAGCUUUUGGAGAGGGUCCAGAGGAGGCCAUGAGACAACUCUCCUCUGAAGAAAGGCAGAGGGAGAUGGACUUGUUAACUUAGAGAGCAGAAGGCUAUGGGGAGACUUCAUUGUGACCUUCCAGUACUUGAAGGGAGUUUGUAAGCAGGAGGGAGACUGUCUUUUUAUGUGAUCUGAUAUUGAUAGAACAAAGGGGAAUGGUUUUAAUCUAAAAAAUUAAAGGAGAUAUGUGUGUUGCUAUGUAUUGCUGGUUUCUCUAAACACUGGCAAAGUACAAUAAAAUAUAUAUAAAAGAAAAUGUAUUCAAUAUCUAUGUUAACUCAGAGUUCAUUCAGGCACAAAAUUAGCAUGUAAUUUACUUAUUAGAAAAGUGAUCAGUAAAAUCCAGACGCAAGGAACUGUUCAAAGGGUUUGUUGCCAAAAAUAUGAGGAUAUUUUGCCAUGGUUUUGAUUAGUAAAUACAUGGAAAACUGUGAUACUCAUCUUCAAAAACAUUUUUAGUUCAUUAUUUUUGUUAUGUCUGUCCUCUGAUCAGAUCUAGAUUCCAAACUUUACUGUUGUUCAUCUUUGAAUGUAAAGGGGAUGCAGGAACAUCUCUUUACUAUCAAAGCACUGUGCUUGUGCUAACACUUGGGGGCUUUCUUCCUGUCAUGUAGGCAAAAUGUUAAUUUAGGGGUAGUGCUACAUGCCAUCAAAGACAGUGGUUAUUAGGUGGUUGCAUCAGAUCUAUGACGCUCAACUGAAAGUCUGUUUUUUUUUCUGCAUGGAUUUCAUCCAGACCCCCCAACUGAGAUGAACUCUUGAAUAGCAAGGAAAAAUAGUCUUUUAUGUAGAAGCAAGCAGGUAAGUUACUUCAGAUAUCACUUUUCACAUCAAUAACUUUUUUUAUGUUUGCCCUUGUAUUAUGAAAAGUAAGAUUCCACAGUGUCUUUUAAUAUUUACUUGUAACACUUGCUGCUUUAGUGGUUUUCUAAACCACUUCAGGUUUUGCAUAAGUUACCAGUGAAAAUGGGGCUAAAAUGGACAGUGGAAUUUAGCAGCGCAGAACCAUGUAGCCAUAAGGACUUCCGGAGCACUCCAUUGUUCUUGUUCAUCUCUUCUAAAUUUCUACAAGCUUGUGCUGUAUGUUACUUUCAAAGUUAAAGGCGAGGAGCAUUAAUACUAAUGUUGAAGAUCACUGUUUCAAAUUGAAUAUGGCAAGUUGUUAAAUUUGCCCUGUUUUCGUAGCGGCAUGUAAAAAUGGUUUUUGAAUGUUCACACGGGAAAGAAGAAAUGCUCUGAUGCUUAUGAAUUCUUGUCUUUUGCUCUAUUUCCUGUACCUUUUUGGCAUUCAUCCUACUUGCCACAGAUCUCAUCUACCUGGAUUGUUGACUGUCUCGCUCUGAAUAGAGUGCAGAUGUGGGGGACAAGAUGGAGGAAAAAAUGAGUCAGGAUUUGGAAUGGUUUAUUAUUUGAUUUUCUGUUUCAGUUCUAAUUCUUAUUCCUCUGUAGCUAGCGUAUUUAUUUCACCUUUUUCGUGCUCUAAAAUGCUUUUCCUUUUCUAUCUCCUUUUUUUUUGUGUAAUCACCUUGCUUUCCUUCUUGUUUCUGAUGCCCUUUAUGAACUCUCUGUCUCCAGCUUCCCAAUAGCUCUACUGAAAAACAGCAGAAGGUUCAGGCACUUUUUUCACUAAUGUAGAAAAACAAUUUUUGACUUUCAUAAACUAAGCUAUUCUAGAUCUAUAUGAAAGACAAUUUGGAAAUAAUUCAGACAUUCAAUGUAGUUUGGAAUCCUGUAUUUGAACCUCUUUUGGGUUGAGGUUUUUUUAUUUUUUUGUGGAUUUUUUUGUGUGUGUGUUUUGUUUGUUUGUUCUGUUUUUCAGGAUAUAAUAGCAUUAAGAUAGAGUUAAUUCACAGGAAAUAUGAAUUUGUUUGAGAAAGUCUUACUGUAGAGAUUCAGAGGGUUGCUAUUUUGAUUCAUUCUUUCUCUUCAGAAAGCUCCAGAGAAAAUGAAGUUUAAAAUUAAACGUCUAGUGGGGAAAUUGGUGCCAAAACAAGGCUUUGAAAUUAAUACUGUAGUUAACAAGUCACGAUUUUUAUGAUUUGCAAGUGAAAUUGCUCUUUUUAAUUAAAAAAAAAAAUAUGGAAGAGUGUUUACUUUCCAAACAUGAAAUAGUGUUGGAAGCUGUUCUUAAUUCUCUGGAUCUUCUGUGCUUUUAUCAAUGCUGCUACAAUGUCAGGUAAGCAAACACUGCAAAGAGCCCAAUUUCAGUGUUCCCACCUAAGCUUCUGGGACCAUUCCAAGGGCUUCAGUUGGCAUGGAUCAGCCUUUAUCUGCUAGAAGACUUGAGACAUUUAUUCAUCAAUAAUGUGAGGUAAGAUGCCCUAAUUCUCCCUUCACCUCUUUCUACUCUUCUGACAGGUGACCACGAUCUUUAAUUGUUUCCUUUUCUUCCUCUUUUGUUAAAAUCUAGCUUCAGAGUGCUGUUGUUUU